rnacentral:rRNA from 1 species
UACAGAGGUGGCAAGCGUUGUUCGGAAUUACUGGGCGUAAAGGGCGCGUAGGCGGUCUUGCAAGUCCCGUGUGAAAUCCCUUGGCUCAACUGAGGAACUGCACGGGAAACUGCUUGGCUUGAGUUCGGGAGAGGGAAGCGGAAUUCCGGGUGUAGCGGUGAAAUGCGUAGAUAUCCGGAGGAACACCGGUGGCGAAGGCGGCUUCCUGGACCGACACUGACGCUGAGGAGCGAAAGCCAGGGGAGCAAACGGG